rnacentral:lncRNA from 1 species
CCAAUCCCCAUGUUUUAAACUCCCUUGGCACCGACAUCCAGCUCAUGAACCCUUCAUAGAAUGUAACAUGGGACAUUUACACAAUCUUGUAUAAUUAAUUUCUGCCUGAUCUCCCCUCUAGACUGUAAGAUCCAUGAAGGCAGGGACUCUACCUUUUUGCUUACCAUUGUAUUCCAGAGCCUGGCAUAGUGUCUGGCACAUGUUAGGUACUAAAUAAAUUCAUUCUGAAGGAAGGAAGAAUGAAUGAGUGGUAAAUUGAUACUUCUAAAAUAAUAAAGAGGAGGCCUAGCAUUUUAAAUAAGUGAUAAUAAUGGGUAGCACAUAUUAAACUUCUAGUGUUAGGUAAACACUGUUCGAAACUCUUUACUCAUUCAUUCCAGUUCCGAGGACCAACCCUAUCAGUACACAUCAGUAUCUGUGCAUAAUAGAUGAGAUCUGAGACUCAGGCUACUUGUGCAAGGCCAGGCAGCCAGUGUAAGAAGCCUGAGGUGAGAUGUCUGGCCGUGUUGCUAGUGCCGUCGCCCUCAAGAAGCCAAACAGGCUCUCAGAGUCUCUCAGGCCCUGCCCCGGACGUGGCCCCGCCCCAGAGCAUGCUGGGCAGGACCUCCCCAUAGAUCCCUCCCAUUGCCAAUGUAUUCCUCCAGAGGAUUCUGAGCUCUGCUUGGUGUUUCCAGCUGUGAUGAGAGGACUUCCACACAGAACCCGUCCACCUAAGGGACUCGUGUCUACAUCCUGAUUCUCAGGGUCUUGGAGCCACUGCUACCUUUAGGCAACUCUCCUUCUCUCACCCCAGCACUUGUGUCAACCCCUAUCUCCUCUCUCCUUGGAGCAGCCAGCUAAAGUCUCCUCCCACAUGAGGGUCUGGACAGGACUGUACAACGGUGUCUCACAACUUCUGCUUGGGUUCAGGAAACAUGAAAGCCAUUAAUAACUCCUGAACCCAGAAGCCCAGAACUUCCUGUAAGACAAAUGAGGAAAGAUUACGGCACAGUUCUGAGUGUUAAUCCAUGUGAAGGCUGCCUCAAGAAAGCUGAUUCCCUUAGGCAGCACCUGGUACCAGAGAAAUUCACAGUGCCUGAAGCUGAGAUCUGGGGUUCCCAUACCCAAGCCACAUCAAGGAACUGGAAUCUGGGAGAAAGGAAAACAGUACUAGAAGCAGAACAAGAGUGUGGGAUCACUCCUGGGUGGUACUGUCACCUCAUUUGGACAGUUCACUGCCUAGAUGUGCUGAGUGUGCAAAUUCUGUCUCGUUGCCUCAUCCAGUGUUUCUCUGAAUAGAAGCAAAUAUCUGGGCACCAGACUCUCUCCUGGCUUUGAUGAAGCAAGCUGCCAUGUUGGAGAGGCCUACAUGACAAGGAACUGAAGGUUGCCUCCGGCCAACUCCAGCCAACAGCCAUCCAGGAAUUGAGGCUCUCAGUCCAACAGGCCUUGAGGAACUGCAUCCAGCCAGCAGCUAUAGAAGUGAGCAAAGAAGUGUGUAUUUCCCCAGUCAAGCCUUCAGCUGAGACCCCAGCCCCAGCUGCCACCUUAAUUGCAGCCUUGUGAGAGACCUUGGAGCAGAGAACCCAGGUAGGCCUUGCCUAGAUCCCUCACCAACAGAAACUAUGAAUUAAUAAAUACUUGGUUUUUUAAGCCA